rnacentral:rRNA from 1 species
AGGACGAACGCUGGCGGCGUGCUUAACACAUGCAAGUCGAGCGGAAAGGCCCUUCGGGGUACUCGAGCGGCGAACGGGUGAGUAACACGUGAGUAACCUGCCCUUGGCUCUGGGAUAGCUCCGGGAAACCGGAAUUAAUACCGGAUAUGACUUCGGCCGACAUCGGCUGCGGUGGAAAGAUUUAUCGGCCAGGGAUGGGCUCGCGGCCUAUCAGCUUGUUGGUGGGGUAACGGCCUACCAAGGCGACGACGGGUAGCCGGCCUGAGAGGGCGACCGGCCACACUGGGACUGAGACACGGCCCAGACUCCUACGGGAGGCAGCAGUGGGGAAUAUUGCGCAAUGGGCGAAAGCCUGACGCAGCGACGCCGCGUGGGGGAUGAAGGCCUUCGGGUUGUAAACCCUGUCAUUGUGACAAAUUGUUUCAUCUAACACAUGAAAUAUUGAUAGUAACGGAAGAGGAAGGGACGGCUAACUCUGUGCCAGCAGCCGCGGU